GAUGAACGCUGGCGGCGUGCCUAAUACAUGCAAGUAGAACGCUGAAGGAAGGAGCUUGCUCUUUCCGGAUGAGUUGCGAACGGGUGAGUAACGCGUAGGUAACCUGCCUGGUAGCGGGGGAUAACUAUUGGAAACGAUAGCUAAUACCGCAUAACAGUAGAUGUUGCAUGAUAUCUACUUAAAAGGUGCAAUUGCACCACUACCAGAUGGACCUGCGUUGUAUUAGCUAGUUGGUGAGGUAACGGCUCACCAAGGCGACGAUACAUAGCCGACCUGAGAGGGUGGGCAGCCAGACUGGGACGGAGACACGGCCCAGACUCCUACGGGAGGCAGCAGGAGGGAAUCGUCAGCAAGGGACGGAAGUCUGACCGAGCAACGCCGCGGGAGGGAAGAAGGUUUUCGGGUCGUAAAGCUCGGUUGUAAGGGAAGAACGAGUGUGAGAGUGGAAAGUUCACAGUGUGACGGUAUCUUACCAGAAAGGGACGGCUAACUACGUG
rnacentral:rRNA from 1 species